CCUACGGGAGGCAGCAGUGAGGAAUAUUGGUCAAUGGGCGCGAGCCUGAACCAGCCAAGUAGCGUGAGGGAAGACGGUCCUAUGGAUUGUAAACCUCUUUUGUCGGGGAGCAAAAGACGCUACGCGUGGCGUUCCGAAAGUACCCGAAGAAAAAGCAUCGGCUAACUCCGUGCCAGCAGCCGCGGUAAUACGGAGGAUGCGAGCGUUAUCCGGAUUUAUUGGGUUUAAAGGGUGCGCAGGCGGAAGGUCAAGUCAGCGGUAAAAUUGAGGGGCUCAACCGCUGCGAGCCGUGGAAACUGGUGUUCUUGAGGGAGCGAGAAGCAGGCGGAAUGCGUGGUGUAGCGGUGAAAUGCAUAGAUAUCACGCAGAACCCCGAUUGCGAAGGCAGCUUACCGGAGCUCAACUGACGCUGAUGCACGAAAGUGUGGGUAUCGAACAGGAUUAGAUAUCCGAGUAGUC
rnacentral:rRNA from 1 species